rnacentral:rRNA from 1 species
UUAUUUAAUGGCCGCGGUAUUUUGACCGUGCAAAGGUAGCAUAAUCAUUAGUUUAUUAAUUGUGGACUUGUAUGAAUGGUUUGACGAAAUAUUAUCUGUCUCAUAUUUAUAUAUAUAAUUUAAAUUUUUAGUUAAAAUGCUUAAAUUUUUUUAUAGGACGAGAAGACCCUAUAGAUCUUUAUUAUUAAAUUAUUUAUAUUUUUUUGUUUAUUUUUUUAUAAAUAAUUUUAUUAUUUUGUUGGGGUGACAUGGAGAAAUAUAUAACUCUUUAUAUUUUUAUACAUUUAUUUUUGUUUAAUUGACCUUUUAUUAAUGUUAUAAGAUAUAGAUACCUUAGGGAUAACAGCGUAAUUCUUUUUGAGAGUUCUUAUCGACAAAGGAGAUUGCGACCUCGAUGUUGGAUUAAGAUUAUUAUUAGGUGUAGAUGCUUAACUAAAUAAGUCUGUUCGACUUUUAAAUUCUUACAUGAUCUGAGUCA